rnacentral:lncRNA from 1 species
CCCAGGUCCCUUAGAAUGUCAUCCCUGUGUGCCGAUAAAGGUGAAAAUUCUUACACAUGUCAGUUGUACUCAUCUUUGCUUCUCUUUCUUAUGACCAGUACUGGGGGGCGCAUCUCCCAACCCAAGGGAGCUCCUGCCUGGAGCCUGCGUGUCCCCAAGGCCCUGAAAUUCCAUUGUCAGCAGGCAGCACCCCCUUCCCACGGCUCCACGGGAGGCUGAAGGCAGCUGAAGCCACAAGAACAAGCUGAGAGGAGAGGACCAAGAUCCGAGAGACAUGGCCCAGCCCCUAGAAGCCAGCUUCUGGCCCUGUGCCGCUGUAUUCUUCAGCCUCUUUGCUCCAGAAAGCUCCACGGAGAGCCACAGGACCAGGCGGGCCAGCAGACUGGCAGGUAGCAGCAAGGCGGGCCGCCUUCCCAGUGGAUUAAAAUAAUCAAGAAAGAAGGGUGUAGCCGGACACAGUGGCUCACACCUGUAAUCCCAGUGACUCGGGAGGCUGAGGCAGGAGGAUUGCUUAAACCCAUGAGUUCGAGACCAGGCUGGGUGACAGAGUGAGACCCUUUCAGAAAGAUGAAGAAAAAAGAAAAGAAAAGGAAAGAAGGAAGGAAGGAAGGAAGGAAGGAAGGAAGGAAGGAAGGAAGAAAGAAAGAAAGAAAGAAAGAAAGAAAGAAAGAAAGAAAGAAAGAAAGAAAGAAAGAGAAAGAAAGAGAAAGAAGAUGGACGGUUGGUGGCCAGAGAGAAUGGCAAGUGUUUCUUGUGUGGGUUGUGCCUGCCCAGUACCGGGGGCUGUGUGAGACUAUGGAGCCCGUGAUCCCCAUGACUGCUCACCUCUGCUAAGAAUCCUCACCUUGUGGAUCUUCUGAGGGAAAGAACAUUUUGGCAAGGGAAAAAACAAAAACAAAAACAAAAAACUCCCCAAGAACUCUUUGUGUAAUGGUAAAUUCAAAUCCCCCCGGUGUUCUAUUUUUACAAUACCUAGAUUCCCAAAGUGGAGCUAUUCGGGGAAAACCCCAAAUGAGAAACCCUUACUGAAGAGCUCCAGUCUAACUGAGUUCAAGUCACUUGCAGCCCAGGUGCAAGGAGGCAGAUACAAGGAGAGCUUGCACCUCAUUGCUGUGCCAGGGGUUUUGGUUAGCUUUGGAAAUAUUAACACCUGCUUAGCUUGUGGGUUCUAGUGAGCCCAGAUGCUCAUUAAGGCAGUAAUAGACAAUGUGUUAAGCACCAUUAGAAUACACACAGUGAUCCACACAUGCACAACCAGUUCCCACCUUUAGGGGCUUUUGUGGCAACUAAUUACAAUAAUACCAGAAUAAACCAUGUAAACAUCUCAUAGCUCACUGCAGUCUCAAGCUCCUGGGCUCAAGAAAUCCUCCCACCUCAGCCUCAAGAGUAGCUGAGACUACAAGUGUGCACCACCAUGCCCAACUAGUUUUUUUGUUCUUUGUAGAGACAGGGUCUUGCUAUGUUGCCCAGGCUGAUCUCAAAUUCCUGACCUAAAGUGAUCCUCCCAUCUCAGCCUCCCAAAGCACCAUCUCAAUAGGUUUCUAAUGUCAAUUCAGUUCCAAACACAUUGGGCACUAUUACAUGCUCGACCAUGGGAUAGAUGCUAGAGUAUAUGGACAGCUAAGAUAUACCUCCUCACAAAGGAGCUUAUGGUUAAUUGGCAAAGAUUGACAGCAGAACAACCAAUCACAGCACAAAGUGAUUUGUGCCUUAACAGAGGUAUGCACAGGAUGCAUGGGAACAUAGGGGAUAGCUAUAACCCAACCCACGUAUGGUGGGAUUGGGGAAGGGGUGCAUGUAGGGGACAAAGAAGGCUUCCUGAAGGAAGCAACUCCUAGCAAGGUCUGAAGCAGCAAGUGGUGAUUUCAACAAGGACAUCUCUUCUUUGGCAGGGCUCUACAGUAGAAGCCCAACCCAAACAAAGGCUAAAGUUGGGCAGUAGGGACACUGGCUCAGUUCUAUCUACCCUACUAUUCUGGCCCCUCAGUUUCUUUU